AGCCACUAACGACACUGCUCCU
rnacentral:miRNA from 1 species